rnacentral:rRNA from 1 species
UACAGAGGUCUCAAGCGUUGUUCGGAUUCAUUGGGCGUAAAGGGUGCGUAGGUGGCGCGGUAAGUCGGGUGUGAAAUCUCGGAGCUUAACUCCGAAAUUGCAUUCGAUACUGCCGUGCUUGAGGACUGGAGAGGAGACUGGAAUUCAUGGUGUAGCAGUGAAAUGCGUAGAGAUCAUGAGGAAGACCAGUGGCGAAGGCGGGUCUCUGGACAGUUCCUGACACUGAGGCACGAAGGCCAGGGGAGCAAACAGG